rnacentral:snoRNA from 1 species
AGCCAGUGAUGAACUACUAAAACUUCUGACACCUCGUAUGAAAACUGCAGUUCUGUUGCAGUAAUUGAUUAUACUCUUGGUCUGAGGCUC